CACAGCCCCUGCUCUGUCACCUCACCAGCCUCUCUUGAUACCCCUCGCUCCCCAUAAAUUGACACACUGUGAUGCCCUGCUCUGGUCCUCACUGCAGUCAUCUGCUACUGAGUGACAAGCCAAAGGCUGAAAGAGUCUCAAAUUCAAUUGUGGUCUGAGAGAAAUAGGGCAUUUGCACCCCCACCUCCGUAGCAGGCCUCUCCCAAGGGCGGAAGGUGGCACACUCUUAUCAGCCCAAGGCACACACAAAUGGCCUUUCCAUCCUGAGGGAGGGAAAUUGAGGGAGGCACCACUUAACCACAGACCUACAGCACUGCCCCAAUAUCAUGGGCAGUGCCGCACAGUCCCCGUGGCAUUGCUGAGGGGUCUUUAGUAAAGGGAAGAAAGCUGUUAGAGGCAACAUGCAGUAUUCCUCCCCAACGAUUGAAUUGCAGGUCCAGGACCGAUGUAGGAAACAAAGUCUCCUCUGUCUUCUGAAGGACUCUGCAGCACUGGGUAUUCCCUGAAAUUUCCCUGAGCAGUUAAAAUGUUUAGGCAUCACUUACGUGGUGCCAUCUGUGCCCAGUGACUUGUGACUGAGCUCUUGCUGUGCCACAACUUGCGGCUGAGUCGCUUGACCUUAGCUAGUGGUCUGGAAAAAAGCAGCAAGGAUGGACACAACAAGAAAAUAUAAAUGAGCUGCCCAUGGGAAAUAAAUCAUCCCCAUCCUUUUCAAAAAUAAAUAUCUGCAUACCCCUGGGAAUUCUGUUGCCCUGGCAAAGGAACUAACCCCAGAACAAAGGGUCCCAGAUGGUUUCAGCACAGGGGUCACAGCCUGAGAAGUGAUCCAAAAGGUGGAUUUGUCAUUGCCUGAGGGAGGACAGCAUCUUAGUUCCUGCUUAUGUGGCACUAAGUGCAUAAACAGCACCAGAAAUCAGGUCUGAUCCAGCCUGCACAGCCACUGCGUGUGUUGGGACCGGGCACAGAGAGGUUGACAGGGGAACCAGCAGAUUAUCUGGCUAAUUACAUCCUGUUCUCUCCAAAUGAGGCGAGUUUCCAAGACGUUGCCCUGGUAAAUUGGCAAGAACAAGGAAAGACAAAUCAAGAGGGUUUCUGCCAGAUGAACUGCUGGGCUUCAUCCGCUCUUGGCUCCUGGGCUGACAGACUUGAGAAGGUGAACCAGAC
rnacentral:lncRNA from 1 species